UACGUAGGGUGCGAGCGUUAAUCGGAAUUACUGGGCGUAAAGCGUGCGCAGGCGGUUUGCCAAGUCAGGUGUGAAAUCCCCGGGCUUAACCUGGGAAUUGCGGUUGAAACUAGCGGGCUGGAGUGUGGCAGAGGGGGGUGGAAUUCCACGUGUAGCAGUGAAAUGCGUAGAGAUGUGGAGGAACACCGGUGGCGAAGGCGGCAUCCUGGACCGGUAUUGACGCUGAGGCGCGAAAGCUAGGGGAGCAAACGGG
rnacentral:rRNA from 1 species